AUGGGGGCGCGAGGAGGGGGCCCAGAGGCCACGGACGCCGGGCUUUCUGACGUGGUGACAGCCGUGCAGACACCGAGGACUUGGGAGAAGGGUCAGGAAGGGUCCAGGACGGGCCACUCUGAGGCACCGGGGACAUGGGCGGAGCUUGGUGCGAGAGCGGCCAGGGGAAGGCCCAGAGGAAGGGGCCGCUUCUGGGUGGCGUCCCUGGGGGACGGACCAGGGUCCAUCAGGGUCACCCGCGAGCUCGCCCGGCCCCCAAGGGAGCUCCAAGCACGAAGCGGCCGCAGGGGCAACGAGCGUGGGCUUAACUGCGAGAAGGAAAGAAACUGGGCCACCUGGAAGGGUCCGGGGGGGGCGAGCUCCCGGGGGUCAGCGCGGGGCACAGAGGUCCGGGCGCUUGCGAGCAGCGGGGUGGCCUCCGGGAGGGGUGGUGCCGCCGCGCCCCUUCCCCAGAUACAGGUCGCUAAGUGCCCUCGGGGUCGCUCCCCCGACAGGAGCUGUCCAGUGGGGACAACACGCUGCGCGCCGAGGGCGAGGAGGGUGGGACUCGGAGCGGGACUCCAGGGGACAGGAGCGCGGGACCACAAGUGCCGGGGCCCUGGCAGCUGUUCCUGGCACGGCCCACAGGGGCGGCCCCCACCUGCAGCCCUGCACCCCCAGUGGGCUCCACCUGCUGCAGCCCGGCUGAGACCGGGGCAGGGGAGGCCCUGCUCCCUCCAGCACCCUCGGGGGGGCCCGUCCCGGGUCUCCCCGCGCACCCCCCAGCCUCUAGAAGCCCGCCCCUCGGCACCCUUGGUGCUGGUCACUCCACCGAGGCCACGGAGGCCGAGCCCAAGCGGCCCGUUUGGCCCCUAUCCUGGCAGACACCAGCGGGGACACCAGCGUCCCUUCCUCUUCCUCCUGGCAGGACAGCCUGGGUGCUGUCGGUGCCAUGCGUCACUUCUGCAGGUCCCACGGGGGGUCCUCUGUCCGCCCCUCCUGGGUGCCACUCAGGCGUCACCCACCGUAUGA
rnacentral:lncRNA from 1 species